rnacentral:hammerhead_ribozyme from 1 species
AUCCACCUAACGAGUUCCAAAUAGGACGAGACGUGCGUCCUGGAU